CCUACGGGAGGCAGCAGUGAGGAAUAUUGGUCAAUGGACGAGAGUCUGAACCAGCCAAGUAGCGUGAAGGAUGACUGCCCUAUGGGUUGUAAACUUCUUUUAUAUGGGAAUAAAACGUUCCACGUGUGGGAUUUUGUAUGUACCUUAUGAAUAAGGAUCGGCUAACUCCGUGCCAGCAGCCGCGGUAAUACGGAGGAUCCGAGCGUUAUCCGGAUUUAUUGGGUUUAAAGGGAGCGUAGGUGGAUUGUUAAGUCAGUUGUGAAAGUUUGCGGCUCAACCGUAAAAUUGCAGUUGAAACUGGCAGUCUUGAGUACAGUAGAGGUGGGCGGAAUUCGUGGUGUAGCGGUGAAAUGCUUAGAUAUCACGAAGAACUCCGAUUGCGAAGGCAGUUCACUGGACUGCAACUGACACUGAGGCUCGAAAGUGUGGGUAUCAAACAGGAUUAGAUACCCCUGUAGUC
rnacentral:rRNA from 1 species